rnacentral:misc_RNA from 1 species
AACCUUAUGGACCUGCGGGCGUAUACCUGCGGAGGGAUCAUUACCGAGUUUACAACUCCCAAACCCCUGUGAACAUACCACUUGUUGCCUCGGCGGAUCAGCCCGCUCCCGGUAAAACGGGACGGCCCGCCAGAGGACCCCUAAACUCUGUUUCUAUAUGUAACCUCUGAGUAAAACCAUAAAUAAAUCAAAACUUUCAACAACGGAUCU